rnacentral:lncRNA from 1 species
CCGUUUUGAAAUGUUUUUAUUAGUAGCUAUAUAGGGUAUGAUACUAAAAUUGACACAAAAUAACAUGAUCAUAAUUAUUGGUCACCGUACAGUUUCGAUGAUAAGCAACACACAUACCGUAUCCAGAAGGCUAUAACAUGACAAAAAGUGUAACAAUUCAAACGCAAAAUCAAAUCCUGGUUUCUGUGAAAACAAUUAGCGAAAAACGGGUAUUUAAACCAGCAAAAAACAAACAUAAAUAAUUAAACAUGUUGCAGAUACAUACAUGAUGUGUUAUGUAAGUAUUUGACCCUUCCUCAAUCAGGAAAUAGGAUUUAACAGCACACCAUAAAAUUGACUGCAAACAUAAGUUGGGAAAGCCUCAAUUGGCUUAUCAUAUCGUCAUGAAGCACAAAAAACUAACAAAAUGUCAUGCCAAUUCACUUGGAAACUAAACAUAUAUCUUACAUAUACCUACUAAAACAUAAGAGAAAAUCAUUCAUAAGCAUACGUCUGUUCUAUGUUCCGUUAACCUUUCAACCAAAAAUGAUGACGAACUGUACCGUCCUUCACUCUAUUGCAUACAUAAGGUGCGUACAUGUCCCUACACACACUGUUAUAAUGAUCGGUCUUGCAAGUGCAUCAUGAAAUAUCCUUUUGAAUUAUCAACAUGUUUUUUU